rnacentral:tRNA from 1 species
AGCCCUGUAGUGCGACACAUCAAAAUGCAAAUUUGAAGAAGCACCCUAAAAGGUGCCGGGGCUU